UAUAAAAUGCCGCGCCCGUCACGCUGUUGCGCACAACCACGUGCCUCUCCCUCGACGCUUUCUUGGCUCUUUCUCUGCCUCUCCCUCGCCGCUCCCUCUGCCACCAUGCCGCCGCGCCGCUGUUCAUCCUCGGGCUACCAAGGCGUCCGCGAGCGCCCUUCCGGCAUCUACUACGUCGAGAUCCGGUUCGGCGACUGAUACGUCUCCGUCGUAUCUACUUUUUCGAACUCUUUUGCCCUUGUUUUGGACUCUAAUUUGCAUGAUUUGAAUGGAACUAACCCG
rnacentral:lncRNA from 1 species